rnacentral:tRNA from 1 species
CUCCAUAGUAUAGAAUCUAUAUUGUGUUAAUUAUAGGUAUAGAGCACCUAUGGC